CAGAGGGGCAAGCGUUGUUCGGAAUUACUGGGCGUAAAGGGCGCGUAGGCGGCCUGUUAAGUCGAACGUGAAAUCCCCGGGCUCAACCCGGGAACUGCGUCCGAUACUGGCAGGCUUGAAUCCGGGAGAGGGAUGUGGAAUUCCAGGUGUAGCGGUGAAAUGCGUAGAUAUCUGGAGGAACACCGGUGGCGAAGGCGGCAUCCUGGACCGGUAUUGACGCUGAGGCGCGAAAGCCAGGGGAGCAAACGGGAUUAGAUACCCCGGUAGUCCUGGCCCUAAACGAUGAAUGCUUGGUGUGGCGGGUAUCGAUCCCUGCCGUGCCGAAGCUAACGCAUUAAGCAUUCCGCCUGGGGAGUACGGUCGCAAGGCUG
rnacentral:rRNA from 1 species